GGAACUCCUUUUACGGCUAAAUCUGUACCACUUUUACUAUGAAGUUUUGAAAAAAAUCUUAUCCUAGAAUUGAAAGUUCAUAUGCAUCACAAUUUUUUUAAAAGGUCAAAAUAUAGGGCUGUGCGGCAUAUUUUCAACGUUUAUAUGCCCUGAACUUCUCAGAGUUUAAACUUACACUAAUUUUCUUAACUACCCCUACCGCGAAUGAAAUGUUACCACAGAUUUCAAUGUAAACAAUAUGCACGUGUUUAUUUACUGGUAACAUUCCCAAGUUCUGUCUCUGUGAUAUGGAACACAGAGAGCAUAACUGGGAACCAGUAUGUAAACAAAAUUAAUUUUCUAUGAAUAUUCAAUUACUCCCCAAAAGAGGCGUGUUUUGAGAAACAGUUGUAUUUACAAAGUGCAACCUAUACAGACAUUUAUUCAAAUAGAAAACUCUCUAAAAUCAG
rnacentral:lncRNA from 1 species